rnacentral:rRNA from 1 species
UACGGGGGGAGCAAGCGUUGUUCGGAUUUACUGGGCGUAAAGGGCGCGUAGGCGGCGCAACAAGUCACUUGUGAAAUCUCCGGGCUUAACCCGGAGCGGUCAAGUGAUACUGUCGUGCUAGAGUGCGGAAGGGGCUACUGGAAUUCUCGGUGUAGCGGUGAAAUGCGUAGAUAUCGAGAGGAACACCUGUGGGCGAAGGCGGCUUACUGGUCCGGUUCUGACGCUGAGGCGCGAAAGCGUGGGGAGCAACAGG